rnacentral:rRNA from 1 species
GUCCACGCCGUAAACGAUGGGUGCUAGGUGUGGGGGUGUCGACUCCCCCGUGCCGAAGCUAACGCAUUAAGCACCCCGCCUGGGGAGUACGGCCGCAAGGCUAAAACUCAAAGGAAUUGACGGGGCCCGCACAAGCAGCGGAGCAUGUGGUUUAAUUCGACGCAACGCGAAGAACCUUACCAAGGCUUGACAUGCAUUUGAAAGACGUGGAAAACACGUUCCCUCUUCGGAGCAAAUGCACAGGUGGUGCAUGGCUGUCGU